CGUAAUAUAAGAAUCGUCUCUUAACUUUAACUAAAAAAAACUAAGAACCGUCUCUUAAAACUCUUAUUAAGAGUCGGUUCUUAGCUUUUUUUAGUUAAGAGUUAAGAGACGAUUCUUAUGUUAUG
rfam:Brassica napus, WGS project CCCW01000000 data, contig: 4258